rnacentral:rRNA from 1 species
GCUUACACAUGCAGUCGAGCGGAAAGGCCCUUCGGGGUACUCGAGCGGCGAACGGGUGAGUAACACGUGAGCAACCUGCCCUAGGCUUUGGGAUAACCCCGGGAAACCGGGGCUAAUACCGAAUAUGACCUUUCCUCGCAUGAGGUUUGGUGGAAAGUUUUUCGGCCUGGGAUGGGCUCGCGGCCUAUCAGCUUGUUGGUGGGGUGAUGGCCUACCAAGGCGACGACGGGUAGCCGGCCUGAGAGGGCGACCGGCCACACUGGGACUGAGACACGGCCCAGACUCCUACGGGAGGCAGCAGUGGGGAAUAUUGCACAAUGGGCGGAAGCCUGAUGCAGCGACGCCGCGUGAGGGAUGACGGCCUUCGGGUUGUAAACCUCUUUCAGCAGGGACGAAGCGUAAGUGACGGUACCUGCAGAAGAAGCGCCGGCCAACUACGUGCCAGCAGCCGCGGUAAGACGUAGGGCGCGAGCGUUGUCCGGAUUUAUUGGGCGUAAAGAGCUCGUAGGCGGCUUGUCGCGUCGACUGUGAAAACCCGCAGCUCAACUGCGGGCCUGCAGUCGAUACGGGCAGGCUAGAGUUCGGUAGGGGAGACUGGAAUUCCUGGUGUAGCGGUGAAAUGCGCAGAUAUCAGGAGGAACACCGGUGGCGAAGGCGGGUCUCUGGGCCGAUACUGACGCUGAGGAGCGAAAGCGUGGGGAGCGAACAGGAUUAGAUACCCUGGUAGUCCACGCUGUAAACGUUGGGCGCUAGGUGUGGGGGGCCUCUCCGGUUCCCUGUGCCGCAGCUAACGCAUUAAGCGCCCCGCCUGGGGAGUACGGCCGCAAGGCUAAA